UACUUAUAAUGAAUAAAUUUUGGAAUAGUAAUAAUGAUGAAAUUUAACGGAUUUGGCGGCAAGAUAGCCAUUUAGAGGAACCUGCCCUGUAAACGAUGAACCACGAAAAACUUAACUUUUAUUUGUAAUCAGUUUGUAUACCGCUGUUGUCAGUCAGUUUCUUUAGAAAGCUUUCUAUCAUGAGAAAAUCAUAGACUUCAAGUAAAGGUGCAGCUUAUGUAAAAGAUAGAGGUGGGUUACAUUUAUUAGAUUAAAACGGAUAAAGUUUAUGAAAUAACUUUUUAAGGUGGAUUUAAUUGUAAAGUUUAAGAAAACUUGAUGUGAGCUCUAUCUUGUGUACAC
rnacentral:rRNA from 1 species